rnacentral:rRNA from 1 species
UACGGGGGGGGCAAGCGUUGUUCGGAAUUACUGGGCGUAAAGGGCUCGUAGGCGGCCAACUAAGUCAGACGUGAAAUCCCCAGGCUCAACCUGGGAACUGCGUCUGAUACUGGAUGGCUUGAAUCCGGGAGAGGGAUGCAGAAUUCCAGGUGUAGCGGUGAAAUGCGUAGAUAUCUGGAGGAACACCGGUGGCGAAGGCGGAUCUCUGGGCCAUUACUGACGCUGAGGAGCGAAAGCAUGGGUAGCGAACAGG